rnacentral:rRNA from 1 species
AUGUACAUACUUACAACAUAAUGUUAAUGCACCAGAUCCCAUUAGAACUCCACAGUUAAGCAUGCUCAGGGUAGAGUAGUACUGGGAUGGGUGACCGCCUGAGAAGUCCUAGUAUUUUACAUG